UACGUAGGGUGCAAGCGUUGUCCGGAAUUAUUGGGCGUAAAGAGCUCGUAGGCGGUCUGUCGCGUCGGCUGUGAAAACCCGGGGCUCAACCCCGGGCCUGCAGUCGAUACGGGCAGACUAGAGUGUGGUAGGGGAGACUCGAAUUCCUGGUGUAGCGGUGAAAUGCGCAGAUAUCAGGAGGAACACCGGUGGCGAAGGCGGGUCUCUGGGCCAUAACUGACGCUGAGGAGCGAAAGCGUGGGGAGCGAACAGG
rnacentral:rRNA from 1 species